rnacentral:lncRNA from 1 species
AGAAUUUUGUCAUUGUGAACUGAAAUAUAUUGUGCUACUGAAGAAACCUUGAAAUUUGAUAUCAUGUGCACUGAUCCUUCUGACCUGAAAUUUCUUUACAAUAGCAUGCAUCAUGGUGUUCUGCAAUAAAUAAUAUAUGUGAGAAAGCAAAUGUAAAUAUCAAACAUUAUUUGUGAGAAGAACAGUUAUGCUAACCUCCUCAUCAAUAAGUUGUCGAGGCUAAUAAGCUCGUUGCUGUUGGGAUUUAUGGCAACGAAAAGUCUAAUUACCUUGACUUUCCAUGAUUACUUUUCAUUGUUAACAACUUGAAGCAUAUCACAUGCCAUUCUAGUUAUCCUUCAGUUUUGAUAAAAGGAAAAAGAAUUUUGGAUCAGGCUACAAAUUUAUAUGUCAAUGGGACCAAGUAGUAACUAAGUUUAUAAUCAGCAGGAGCUGAUACAACGACAACAAUUUAAGGGAUUGAAGAUCAAUAGUAUGAAUAUUUUUGACUUAGAUGAAAAAAAAAAACUGCUACUAUAUUAUAUCUGUCAAUGGAACCAUCUAUUAAUUGAACUACUUAUUAGGGCAAAGGUGCUACAAGGAUCAUAAUCCAAAAAUUUUCAAAAAGGAUCAUAAUCCAAAUAUAUUUUAUCUGCUUCUCUUACCAAUAAAAAACCUCAAAAGUCAGAACUGUGCUUUUUUUAUUAGGCUUUUAACCUAUUAGUUUAUUAAUAUAGCUUAAUAGCAAUAGUGAAUUUGUCUUCUGUCUAUUAUUCUGCUAUUUAGAAAAUUACCAGUACAUUUUAUCUUCUAGUACCAUUAAAAAACUCGAUUCAAUUGUCUAAAUCACAAUCGAUAACAUAGCAGCAGAAUAUGUUCGUUAGAAUAGCAAACAGUCCUUUGAACAGGCAAAAGAUCAGCACAUAGUUCUUUAAUUCCAAUCAAAAUCACAAAUCAAGUCCAGUUUGGACGAAAUAUCUUUGUGUAUUAUAUAUGGAUGCGGCAGAGACAUAUGGAAGUUUGCUCUUUUUGCCAACGCAACAAUGAAUAUGCGAUAGUUGGGAAAACGGAUAAAUUGUGGAACAAACAUAUUGACCCCUGAAAUUUAUAGGAUUAUUAACGAUGGCGUAACAAAGUCUUAGUAUGGAUCGAUAUCGUUGCAUAUGACAAAUCAAUUUUGAUUAACGAAACGAAGCACCUGAUCUGGAGUUCAAAUCGGAGUCCAGAUGGGUAUCGUUAAAUAUGAGAAACCGAUUUAGAUAAGGGAAGAGAAGCACCUGAGCAGGACUCCAAAUCGGAGACGGUUGGUUCGUCCGUAGAAGUCGCUGCCGCGAAAGCCGAUGAUCUCCAACUCGCGCUCGCUGGUAGCGAUGACUCGCGACUAUCCCGCGGACGGAGAGAAGGAAAGCUGGAUGCGG